rnacentral:sRNA from 1 species
CGCACCCAAACAAACUCCGCCACAUAUUGCCGGGUCUUCGAAGUCCUCGAUUCGCUUUCUUGCAGAAGAUCAUAGGUUAUUGGAUUGCGUGUAUCCCCAUCCUCUUGACUGACAGUCUGCAAAAAGAAGAACUUUCUUUAGGAACUGUUCAAAAGAUUAUUUCACAAUUAAUAGUCUCCAUUUAUAAUGAUUACGAUUGCUGCCCUGAUUGGUUUCCUCACUGGCCUGGUUAUAAUAAUAGGACCUUAAGGAAAACACCAACAUUUUCCGAUGUAAGGGCUCAAUUCAAGGAGUUUUCCCUCGCUAAAGGGAAAACUAUAUUAAAAGAAAAGUUAAAUAAAUCUUGAACACAUUUAUGAUCCAGUUCACCACGCAUUAAACUUUUAAGAAAUAUCCAACAUACCAUUGAGGAUGGUAAAUUAUGAUUUGAAACCCUUUUUCAUUAAAAACACAAUUUAAAACCAAUUUAAAAAUAAAAACUACAGUACA